GACGAACGCUGGCGGCGUGCUUAACACAUGCAAGUCAAACGGAAAGGCCCUGCUUUUGUGGGGUGCUCGAGUGGCGAACGGGUGAGUAACACGUGAGUAACCUGCCCUUGACUUUGGGAUAACUUCAGGAAACUGGGGCUAAUACCGGAUAGGAGCUCCUGCUGCAUGGUGGGGGUUGGAAAGUUUCGGCGGUUGGGGAUGGACUCGCGGCUUAUCAGCUUGUUGGUGGGGUAGUGGCUUACCAAGGCUUUGCCGGGUAGCCGGCCUGAGAGGGUGACCGGCCACAUUGGGACUGAGCUACGGCCCAGACUCCUACGGGAGGCAGCAGUGGGGAAUAUUGCACAAUGGGCGGAAGCCUGAUGCAGCAACGCCGCGUGCGGGAUGACGGCCUUCGGGUUGUAAACCGCUUUCGCCUGUGACGAAGCGUGAGUGACGGUAAUGGGUAAAGAAGCACCGGCUAACUACGUG
rnacentral:rRNA from 1 species